rnacentral:lncRNA from 1 species
AAGCUGGAAUAUAAAAAUUUUUGUACAUAUGAAUUUUUUUUUUCUUAAUCAACUUAAAUCAUAAUAGGCAUUCUUAAAAGUUAUUUUAAAAAUUAAUUAACUUUUAAAAUAAAUAAAUAAUUGCUUUUUUAAUUUGUGUCUUUAAAUGCAAUUUAGCCAUAACUAAAAAAAUUAUCUAAUUUAUUUUUAAUAUACUUAUAAUUAAAGAAUAGUUUAUAUUUAAAGUAGGUUUAAUGUAUUUGGAAGUCCUUAUUGUUACAGAUUUGUAUCAAUUGGGUCCUCAUAUUUUGGAAGUACUCAAUUCGGUCUCUAUUUUAGUAAAAUUGAGUCAAUAAUGGCCUUGCCGUUAAAUAGCAAUGGAUGGCGUUAACUUUCUAGCGAAGUUACGUGCUGAGCUGUCCUUUAAUUAACACGUGGCACAGUAAAAUCUCAUGUGGAAACCUUCUCCCCUUCUCCUUCCCCUUCCUUUUCCUCACCAACUCCAACCUCACCUUUUCCCCUGUUUGGGAAACUUUCUUCUCACCCUCCCACACUCACCUUUUCAACAUCUACAUCCAUGCCUAUCGCCCAAUCCAACCGUCCGACGCACCUCUCG